UAGAAAGUGGUCUCAUUAUAUUUAAGGGGGAAAUUGCCAAGAAGAAAGCAUGUUCCAUGAUGGGAUGUAGAGCAAGGCUCCAAGCCCAGUUCACGCUGAGCUACAAGCGAAUCGUACAAUGGAGCUCUCAGCGAAGCAGCAGCCUCUGCCAAGCUAGCCAUUUUGAUCUACCAUCAGUCUGGAGUGAGGUCAACAUUCAUGUGAACAACUCAACACGCCCUAUCUUCACACUUCACUGAUAUUUUCAUCUUCAAUACUUGUAUUUUUUUCUCUCAGCUAUUUAUGUCCAAUGACCAUACACAAAUGUUCUCUCUGGAAUCAGUCUACCUGAAUACUAAUGCUAGCUCCAUCAGUAGUUAUAGCUAUGUAAUCACUGACACAUUUUUAAGCCUCUCUAAAGAUUUUUGCUACCUUGUUUACAAAAUAGGAAUGAUAAAGGGACUUACAGUGCUUGAUAUUUAGUAAUAUUCAAUUACUAUUAGCUUUUAUUAUUAUCAGCCAAACUAUGCCACCUCUGAAAUAUUGAACCCAAACAGUAAUAUGUAACGUUUGGACACUUAAGUUAUUCCAACUCUUUUACUAUUGUAAAUUAUCCAUAGCAGAAAUCAUAGCCUGAAAAUAAAUUAGAAACAAAAAGAAAA